rnacentral:rRNA from 1 species
ACGUAGGGUGCAGGCGUUAAUCGGAAUUACUGGGCGUAAAGCGUGCGCAGGCGGUUUCUUAAGUCAGAUGUGAAAGCCCCGGGCUUAACCUGGGAACUGCGUUUGAAACUGGGAGACUUGAGUGUGGCAGAGGGGGGUGGAAUUCCACGUGUAGCAGUGAAAUGCGUAGAUAUGAUGUAGAACACCGAUUGCGAAGGCAGCUCACUAAGCAGCGAUUGACGCUGAGGCACGAAAGCGUGGGGAUCAAACAGGA